AAAGAUAAAACUAUAUUUUAAAUAAAUAUAUACUAUCAUUUUUAAUAAAAAAAAUUAAAAAUUUAAGAAAUUAUUAUUUAGAAAUUUUAUUAAAUAUAGGUUAAUCUUGUGCCAGCAUCAGCGGUUAUACAAUGAUAUAUAAAUUAAUUAUAUUAAUUUAUUAUUAUAAUAAUAAUUUAUUAAUAUUAAUAGUUAUAGUUUUUAGAUUAAAUAAAAACUAUUUAUAUUAUUAUUAAAUUAAAUUAAUUUAAGUUAAUUAAAUAUUAUAAUAAACUAGGAUUAGAUACCCUAUUAUUAAUAUUCAAUUUUAUAGUAAUUAAUUAUUAAAUUUAAUAAAUUAAAAUUUAAAAAUUUUGACGGUAUUAUAACCUAAUUAGAGGAACUUGUAUCAUAAUUGAUAUUCCACGAUAGGAUAAAUUUAAUGUAUUUAAUAUUUUUGUAUGUUCGUUAUAAAAAAAUUUAUUAAUAAUUUAAAUUUUUAAAUUUUAUUAAAAUAAAUUAUUUCAGAUCAAUAUGAAAUUAUAUAUUAUAAGUUUUAUGAGUUACAAUUUAAUAACUAAUAGAUAUGAUUAAUUUUUAAAUAAUUUAAUUAAAAUGGAUUUAAUAGUAAUAAAUAAAAAUAAUUAUUUAUGAAUUUAGUUUUAUAAUAUGUACAUAUUGCCCGUCACUUCUAGAAAUAGGAUAAGUCGUAACAAAGUAAGUAUACUGGAAAGUGUACUUAG
rnacentral:ncRNA from 1 species